CGAACGCUGGCGGCAUGCCUAACACAUGCAAGUCGAACGAGACCUCCGGGUCUAGUGGCGCACGGGUGCGUAACGCGUGGAUAUCUGCCUUUUGGUUCGGAAUAACUCCGGGGAAACUGGAGCUAAAUACCGGAUGGUUCCUACGGGAUAAAGAUUUAUCGCCAAAAGAUGGAGUCCGCGUACGAUUAGCUAGUUGGUGAGGUAAUGGCUCACCAAGGCGACGAUCGUUAGGCUGGUCUGAGAGGACGAUCAGCCACACUGGGACUGAGACACGGCCCAGACUCCUACGGGAGGCAGCAGUGGGGAAUAUUGGACAAUGGGGCAACCCUGGAUCCAGCCAUGCCGCGUGAGU
rnacentral:rRNA from 1 species